rnacentral:rRNA from 1 species
CGGACGGGUGAGUAACGCGUGGGUAACCUGCCUCAUACAGGGGGAUAACAGUUAGAAAUGACUGCUAAUACCGCAUAAGCGCACGAGGAUGCAUGUUCUUGUGUGAAAAACUCCGGUGGUAUGAGAUGGACCCGCGUCUGAUUAGCUAGUUGGAGGGGUAACGGCCCACCAAGGCGACGAUCAGUAGCCGACCUGAGAGGGUGACCGGCCACAUUGGGACUGAGACACGGCCCAAACUCCUACGGGAGGCAGCAG